GAUGAACGCUGGCGGCGUGCCUAAUACAUGCAAGUCGAGCGAACAGACGAGGAGCUUGCUCCUCUGACGUUAGCGGCGGACGGGUGAGUAACACGUGGAUAACCUACCUAUAAGACUGGGAUAACUUCGGGAAACCGGAGCUAAUACCGGAUAAUAUAUUGAACCGCAUGGUUCAAUAGUGAAAGACGGUUUUGCUGUCACUUAUAGAUGGAUCCGCGCCGCAUUAGCUAGUUGGUAAGGUAACGGCUUACCAAGGCGACGAUGCGUAGCCGACCUGAGAGGGUGAUCGGCCAAACUGGAACUGAGACACGGUCCAGACUCCUACGGGAGGCAGCAGUAGGAAUCUUCCGCAAUGGGCGAAAGCCUGACGGAGCAACGCCGCGUGAGUGAUGAAGGUCUUCGGAUCGUAAAACUCUGUUAUUAGGGAAGAACAAAUGUGUAAGUAACUAUGCACGUCUUGACGGUACCUAAUCAGAAAGCCACGGCUAACUACGUG
rnacentral:rRNA from 1 species